UCUAAAGUGGCUAAAGUCUCCAAGUCAAAGAAAAUUUCAUGGUCAAAAAUUCGGUGUCCCCGUCAAAUUAAUAGCAUUGACUGUGGAUAUUUUGUAAUGCGAUUUAUGAAAGAGGUCAUCGUGGAAAAUGAAAUUAUGAUCCCCGUAAAUUACUUUCCUGACCACAAAUGUCGUACCUACUCUAUGGAUAAGUUAACCGAGAUCAAGGAGGAUUGGGCUACCUAUAUGGUGGAUGAUAUUUUUGAAAAACAAGAAGCAAAUAUUUUGCCUAGCUAGCUAGCAAAGUGAUUAUAUAUCUGGGUUUGGCAGUGCUUUGGUUCGCGAAGUGGUUACUUGAUGUCGUUUUGUAGUCCUUUCUUGUUUUGUUAGAUGUUUUCUUUAGUUUAGAUAAUAUGCCUAACGAAGUGAUUUUACUUUUGUUUGGAAUUUGGUUUGAUGUACUCUUAGUUGGACCAAAUUAAUUACUUAUGGCAAAAGUUCUAUCUUAAUUUCAUUGAGAUCAAUGUUGAAUAUGGUAAUUUGUUAAUUUGUUUAUUAUCAUUCACUA